UACCUCAAAAUUCCGCAACAGUCUGUUUCAUCAGUAAAGAAUCAUCAGGCGGUACCGCCUGAUGAUUCUUUACUGAUGAAACAGACUGUUGCGGAAUUU
rnacentral:miRNA from 1 species